rnacentral:piRNA from 1 species
AUCCAUCCAUCCAUCCAUCCAUCCACCCAC